rnacentral:rRNA from 1 species
AUACGGAGGGGGCUAGCGUUGUUCGGAAUUACUGGGCGUAAAGCGCGCGUAGGCGGCUUAUCAAGUUAGGCGUGAAAGGCCUGGGCUCAACCCGGGAACUGCGCUUAAUACUGGUAGACUUGAGUCCGGGAGAGGAUGGCGGAAUUCCUAGUGUAGAGGUGAAAUUCGUAGAUAUUGGGAAGAACACCAGUGGCGAAGGCGGCUUUCUGGCUCGCAACUGACGCUGAGGCGCGAAAGCGUGGGGAGCAAACAGGAUUAGAUACCCCGGUAGUCC